AAUGGCCGCAGUAUUUUGACUGUGCAAAGGUAGCAUAAUCAUUAGUUUCUUAAUUAGAAGCUGGAAUGAAUGGUUUGAUGAGAAAUUAACUGUCUCUAGUUAAUUAAGUUAGAAUUUGAAUUUUAAGUGAGAAUGCUUAAAUUUUUUAAAAAGACGAGAAGACCCUAUAGAGUUUGAUUGUUUAGAUUUUUAAUAUAUUAGGAAGGUUUUAUGUAAUUUAAGAAUUUAAGUGAUUUUGUUGGGGUGACAUGAAAAUUGAAUUAACUUUUUUGUUUAAAUACACUAAUUGGUGAGUUAUUGAUCCUGAUUUCUGGAUUAUAAGAUUAAAUUACCUUAGGGAUAACAGCGUAAUUUUUCUUGAAAGUUCAUAUUUAUAGAGAAGUUUGCGACCUCGAUGUUGGAUUAAAAUUAAUUUUUGGUGUAGCAGCUGGAAAAUUG
rnacentral:rRNA from 1 species